rfam:Hafnia alvei FB1, complete genome.
ACGGCUCUUUUCGCUGCCUUGCAAGCAGGCGCCGGAUGGAAGGAAAGGAAAUCCGCUGAUCGUUAAUACAAGCGCAUCACAGUGCUUGUUUUCACGGCAGGAUCUCCGGUGGUGUUGCUGUGAAGCGGUCUUUGCAUGGAUCGCACAAUGAAACGGUACGUUUGUAUCCUGCUUAUUGUUUCUGGCUCGUUACUAUCGCAGGGAAAGGGGAGUUGGAGUAUUUCCAAUAAUUCCGUCUCGGUAAUGGUUAACCUGUCUGGCAAGUCGCUAAAAUGAAAAAACCGCCCGAAAGGGCGGUUUUUUUA